UCGAGAAUCUUCCGCAAUGGGCGCAAGCCUGACGGAGCGACGCCGCGUGUAGGAUGAAGGCCUUCGGGUUGUAAACUACUGUCACUCGUGAAGAACGUUCACUCCAAUCAAGUGAGCUGACGUUAGCGAGAGAGGAAGUCACGGCUAACUUCGUGCCAGCAGCCGCGGUAAGACGAAGGUGGCAACCGUUGCUCGGAUUCACUGGGCAUAAAGCGCGCGUAGGUGGCUUUGCAGGUCAUCGGUGAAAAACCCCGGCACAACCGGGGAACUGCCGAUGAAACCGCAUUGCUUGAGGUCGGGAGAGGAGAGUGGAACUCUUGGUGUAGCGGUGAAAUGCGUAGAUAUCAAGAGGAACGCCGGUGGCGAAAGCGGCUCUCUGGACCGAUCCUGACACUGAGGCGCGAAAGCUAGGGGAGCAAACAGGAUUAGAUACCCCGGUAGUCC
rnacentral:rRNA from 1 species